UCCAAAGUAAUUGACGCAAAUUUGUUAGAUAUGCAUGUAUCUACACACUAAAACGCGUCUAGAUACAUGCAUAUCUUGAUAAAUAUGUGUCAAUUAAGAAUGGGGGAAUAUCAGUUAAUGACUGACGAAAUUUAAUGAUAGAAAGUUCAUCCCAGGCACUAUAAAUAGACAAGGUUGCAGACCUUUUGGCUUACCACACCUUAAGUUAUUCAAUCCAAGCUUUCACAAUGGCCUGCAAGAUGGCAUUAGUCUUGUCUCUAUCGGUGUUAGCAUUCUUCAUCUGCCUUGGUACUGCUGAAGCUGGCCCGCAGUGCAUGUACCAGCUUAAUCCUUACUAUCAUAGUAGGUGCGAGACAAAUGAUGACAACGACAAUUGUCGAAGUGCUUGUAAAAAAUUUGAGGCACCAAAGUACAUGGGUGGUAUGUGCCAUGAUGAACAAUGCGUCUGUUAUACCUGUUAAUGAUCAUCGGACUCUUCCACCGCUGGGGUAGCCAUUAAGAUACAUCCACUUGUCCCUUGGUGGACACCACCAUAGAAAGAUUUGAGCUCCAAGGAAGAUUGUCUUUUUGGUGUAACAGAAUAAAUUGGCAAUGUAUCGAACUAUGAUUUAGCAAGUUUUUUUCCCGAUGAGUUA